CCAAACAGCAGAAGCUUUAAGUUCCCGGGCCAUAGCCCGAUGCAGACAGUUGUUUGCUGGCUCUGAAAGCCACAAGGGCUGUUUGUACACAACUCUUUGAAAAAGGGGAAAUGCGGCUCGCCCUGGAGUGCGAAUCUAAUUUGAAAUGUAGCCGGAGUGAAGCUUUCCCACUUAAAAACCCAGUUUCUUAUUUCUUUUGAAGAUAGACAGGAACAUGGGCAGGAUGUUUAUACAGCGAAAUGUAAACAUCUUCUCAGGGGUUCUUUAAUAAAAAGAAAUCAGAAAGAAAAGUCCCUGGUAGUUCGCAUAGGGCCCCUUGCUAAGCCAUAUAAAAUAGCGCCCGUCGCCGGUUUUGCUGCCGGGUUAGGCUUUUGUUGUUGUUUGUUGUUGUUGUGAUAUAAACAUGUGUUGAUUUUUUCAGCUAUGGCCAGACUUUGAUCCUCAGAAGUAAUGGAUCACACACACACACACACAUACACACACACACACACGGGGGGGGGAGGAAAAGGAGGGCAAAGCCUUCAUCAGACCCCCCCACCCACAAAAAAGUCUGACCAUCGUAUCAUCAGUAAAGCUGUCACUCACUAAUCAAGAGAUCUGUACAUCAGAGGGGAUGUGGCAGGUGGGGAGAGGGCUGGAGAGCCUUCUUGCAUGGAUCACCUCUUCCUUCCCUGGAUGGGUGAUCAGACGAGUAGGCUGGGGUACCACGAUAUGGACAGCACAGUUUUUGGCUAGCCAUCCUGACCUACUCUGAGGAAUUUUCAUGCAUAGGAGCUUUGACUUUGCAAGCGUGCUGUGUAUAUAAUCUUUCUCUGAAGAUCGUCUACAGUAUAAGAUCUGUGAGAAUGGACUGCCUGGGAUCACAUGUAUGCACUGACAUCCUCCCUGUUCUCAGUUGUCUGGAGAAGCUGCUAGAUUGAGUUUUUGCAAAACAAUAUGCAGGACUGAUAAAGAAACAAUUCAAUAUUUAUUUCUGCUGGGCUCUUGUAUGUACUCUGGCAUUUGCUCUUUAUUACACUUUCUUUGUCAGUUUAAUCUUGUUGUAAUGAAUGCUUCUUUUUCCUUUCAGAAAUAAAUUCCAUGUUUUAA